UACGGGGGGGGCAAGCGUUGUUCGGAAUUACUGGGCGUAAAGGGCUCGUAGGUGGCCAACUAAGUCAGACGUGAAAUCCCUCGGCUUAACCGGGGAACUGCGUCUGAUACUGGAUGGCUUGAGUUUGGGAGAGGGACGCGGAAUUCCAGGUGUAGCGGUGAAAUGCGUAGAUAUCAGGAGGAAUACCGAUGGCGAAGGCAGGUCUCUGGGCUGAAACUGACGCUCAUGCACGAAAGCGUGGGGAGCAAACAGG
rnacentral:rRNA from 1 species